UUGGCAAAAACAAGGUUAGCACCUACCAGCCAACCCGCCAGAUAAUUAAGAGUGAAAACUUAAAAUUCAAAGGGCUUGGCGGUGUCCCACACUCAACCUAGAGGAGCCUGUCCUAUAAUCGAUAAUCCACGAUAAACCCCACCACUUUUUGCCAAACAAUCUAUAUACCGCCGUCGAAAGCUUACCUUUUAAAAGAAAAGAAGUGAGCUAAAUAGCCCCCCGCUAGUAUGACAGGUCAAGGUGUAGUAAAUAAAGUGGUAAGAGAUGGGCUACACUUCCUUAAAAAGGAGAAACGAACAGCCUAGUGAAACCACGCUAGAAGGCGGAUUUAGUAGUAAAUUGGGAUUAGAAAGCCCAAUUGAACACAUUGCCCUGGGACG
rnacentral:rRNA from 1 species